rnacentral:rRNA from 1 species
UACGGAGGGUGCGAGCGUUAUCCGGAAUUACUGGGUUUAAAGGGUGCGUAGGCGGCUUUGUAAGUCAGGAGUGAAAGUUUGCGGCUCAACCGUAAAAUUGCUUCUGAUACUGCAUGGCUAGAAUUAGGAUGAGGUCAGCGGAAUGUGGCAUGUAGCGGUGAAAUGCAUAGAUAUAGGAAGGAACACCAGUGGCGAAGGCGACCACCUGGACUGAUACUGACACUGAGGUGCGAAAGCGUGGGGAGCAAACAGG